rnacentral:rRNA from 1 species
AUUGAACGCUGGCGGCAGGCCUAACACAUGCAAGUCGAGCGAGUGGCGGACGGGUGAGUAAUAUCUGUGGAACAGCCCGAUGGAGGGGGAUAACUCCUGGAAACGGUAGCUAAUACCGCAUACCCUCGGAGAUACCCAGAUGGGAUUAGCUCGUUGUUGGGGUAAUAGGUCACCUGGGCGACGAUCCCCAGCGGGUCUGAGAGGAUGAGCGGCCAGACUGUAACUGAGACACGGUCCAGACUCCUACGGGAGGCAGCAGUGGGGAAUAUUGCACAAUGGGCGCAAGCCUGAUGCAGCCAUGCCGCGUGUAUGAAGAAGGCCUUCGGGUUGUAAAGUACUUUCAGCGAGGAGGCGUUACUCGCAGAAGAAGCACCGGCUAACUCCGUGCCAGCAGCCGCGGUAAUAC